GAAAAGCCAGCUAAUACCGGAUGAGACCACGGCCCCCUCGGGGGCUGCGGCCAAAGAUGGCCUCUUCUUGAAAGCUAUCGCCUGAGGAUGGGCCUGCGGACCAUUAGCUUGUUGGUGAGGUAACGGCUCACCAAGGCUGCGAUGGAUAGCUGGUCUGAGAGGAUGAUCAGCCACACUGGGACUGAGACACGGCCCAGACUCCUACGGGAGGCAGCAGUGGGGAAUAUUGCGCAAUGGGGGAAACCCUGACGCAGCGACGCCGCGUGAGUGAUGAAGGCCUUCGGGUCGUAAAGCUCUGUCGUAAGGGAAGAACUGGUUAUGGGUUAAUACCUCAUAGCCUUGACGGUACCUUACAAGAAAGCACCGGCUAACUCCGUGCCAGCAGCCGCGGUAAUACGGAGGGUGCAAGCGUUGUUCGGAAUCACUGGGCGUAAAGAGCGUGUAGGCGGCUGGCUAAGUCUGGUGUGAAAGCCCGGGGCUCACCCCCGGAAGUGCGCUGGAAACUAGUCAGCUAGAGUAUGGGAGAGGGAAGUGGAAUUCCUGGUGUAGCGGUGAAUGCGUA
rnacentral:rRNA from 1 species